rnacentral:rRNA from 1 species
GACGGAGGAUGCAAGUGUUAUCCGGAAUCACUGGGCGUAAAGCGUCUGUAGGUCGUUUAAAAAAGUCUACUGUUAAAAAAUUGAAGCUUAACUUCAAAGAUGCCGUAGAAACUUUUAAACUUGAGUAUGGUAGGGGUAGAGGGAAUUUCCAGUGGAGCGGUGAAAUGCGUAGAUAUUGGAAAGACCACCAAUGGCGAAGGCACUCUACUGGGCCAUUACUGACACUGAGAGACGAAAGCUAGGGGAGCAAAUGGG